GGGGAUGCCUAUAAUGCAGUUCGAACGAAGUUCGCCCAAUUUGAUUCUAGUGCUUGCACUAAGAUGAUUAUUGGAUCCGACUGAGUGGCGAACUGGUGAGUAACACGUGGGUAACCUGCCCAGAAGAAGGGGAUAACACCUGGAAACAGAUGCUAAUACCGUAUAACAACAAGAACCACAUGGUUCUUGUUUGAAAGCUGGCCUUUGUGCUAGUGCUUCUGGAUGGACCCGCGGCGUAUUAGCUAGUUGGUGAGAUAAUAGCUCACCAAGGCAAUGAUACGUAGCAGACCUGAGAGGGUAAUCUGCCACAAUGGGACUGAGACACGGCCCAUACUCCUACGGGAGGCAGCAGUAGGGAAUCUUCCACAAUGGACGAAAGUCUGAUGGAGCAACGCCGCGUGAGUGAAGAAGGGUUUCGGCUCGUAAAACUCUGUUGUUAGAGAAGAACAGCCGUGAGAGCAACUGCUCACGGUAUGACGGUAUCUAACCAGAAAGUCACGGCUAACUACGUGCCAGCAGCCGCGGUAAUACGUAGGUGGCAAACGUUGUCCGGAUUUAUUGGGCGUAAAGGGAGCGCAGGCGGUUUAUUAAGUCUGAUGUGAAAGCCUUCGGCUUAACCGGAGAAGUGCAUCGGAAACUGAUAAACUUGAGUGCAGAAAAGGAUAGUGGAACUUCAUGUGUAGCGGUGAAAUGCGUAGAUAUAUGAAGGAACACCAGUGGCGAAGGCGGCUAUCUGGUCUGUAACUGACGCUGAGGCUCGAAAGCAUGGGUAGCAAACAGGAUUAGAUACCCUGGUAGUCCAUGCCGUAAACGAUGAAUGCUAGGUGUUUGGAAGGUUUCCGCCUUUCAGUGCCGCAGCUAACGCAUUAAGCAUUCCGCCUGGGGGAGUACGACCGCAAGGUUGAAACUCAAAGGAAUUGACGGGGACCCGCACAAGCGGUGGAACCAUGUGGUUUAAUUCGAUGCUACGCGAAGAACCUUACCAGGACUUGACAUCUUCUGCCAAUCUAAGAGAUUAGACGUUCCCUUCGGGGACAGAAUGACAGGUGGUUGCAUGGGUUGUCGUCAGCUCCUGUCCUGAAAAUGUUUGGGUUAAGUUCCCGCCAACCAACCGCAACCCCUUGUUCUUUAGUUGGCCAGCCAUUAAGUUGGGGCACUCCUAAAAAGGAACUGCCCGUUGAAUAAACCCGCAAGGAAAGGUUGGGGGAAUGAACGUCCGAAUGUUCCAUGGCCCCCUUAAGGCCCCGGGGCCUACCCACGUUGGCUGACAUGGGGCCAAAUACAAACCAGUUUGGCGGAAACCCGCCAAGGGUCAGACCCUAAAUUCCUUAGAAAGUCCGUUCUCCCCUUUUCCGGAAUUGGACAUUCCUGCCAAUCCCGAACUGGACUGGAAAAAUACGGAAACCCCCCCUGGUAAUUCUGUGUGAAAACCCAAUUUGCCCACCGGGG
rnacentral:rRNA from 1 species